rnacentral:rRNA from 1 species
AACGAACGCUGGCGGCAGGCUUAACACAUGCAAGUCGAACGCCCCGCCAGGGGAGUGGCAGACGGGUGAGUAACGCGUGGGAACAUACCCUUUCCUGCGGAAUAGCUCCGGGAAACUGGAAUUAAUACCGCAUACGCCCUACGGGGGAAAGAUUUAUCGGGGAAGGAUUGGCCCGCGUUGGAUUAGCUAGUUGGUGGGGUAAAGGCCUACCAAGGCGACGAUCCAUAGCUGGUCUGAGAGGAUGAUCAGCCACAUUGGGACUGAGACACGGCCCAAACUCCUACGGGAGGCAGCAGUGGGGAAUAUUGGACGAUGGGCGCAAGCCUGAUCCAGCCAUGCCGCGUAAGUGAUGAAGGCCGUAGGGUUGUAAAGCUCUUUCACCGAUGAAGAUAAUGACGGUAGUCGGAGAAGAAGCCCCGGCUAACUUCGUG